AAAACCCUUUUGUAGUUUUGGUCAUUCUAAAAUGUUAUACUUCUAUUUUGACUUGAGUUUAAAUUUAAUUCCAUGGUUAUUCGUGUAAUUAUAGGUGAAUAAUGAUAGGAAUUAUACCAUUCUUAUAAUUUUCUUAUUGCCAUGCCCCAUUAGCCUAAAGCCCAAAGAUAUCAAACCAUAUUGCAGUGGCCAAAUAUAUUUUGGAUCAGCGGUGUGAUAUGUUGGCAUUAUUACUCAAAUAUACAUUAGAUUAUCUACUAAAGUUAUAAAUGUUGAAUUAAGAUUUCAUAUAAGCAACAUAAUGAAUUGCAUAGGAAAAAAAUGAUACAUACGUGGGGUUUUAUGUUCGGCACGUGGACUAAUAUGUAAUGUGAUGCUAACAAUGGACAUAAUUAAUUGGUCAUGACAUCCUUGAUUAUUGGUGGGGUGUGUAGUGAAGAAUGUUAGCUGGAAAAGAAAAAGAGAAUUGCAAUGGCGGGUCCUUUCACUAUUUGUGCACAAAGUUCUAUACUUAUAUUUAGUUGUUUACGUUUAUGCAUUCUAGUUAAAUUAUUAAGUUAUAUUGAAAUGAAAUGAUCUGAACUAUAAAGCAAAUAAAAGGCCUUUUUAUAAGGGAAUUCAUUUUGUAUAUACAAUGUAUUUUAUUAAGUUAUGAGUUAACGAAAUGUUUCCUUUUCACUUUAAUUAACUGCUUUCCUUACAAUUAUAUUUUAUUCUAUGAAAGUGCAAACCUUUAAAGUAUUUGAUUUAAAAUGGUCUAAUAUUUUAUUUGAAUUGUCGGAUAAGAAUUUAAGAUCCUUCCAAGAAUUGAAAUUUCAAGGUUGCAUCACCACGUAAAAGUGUAGAGAUUCUUAAAUUACUUUGAACCUAGUGAUGUUGGAAGUGAACCUGAAUCGCUGUUAGAUGCUAGAGGAUCAUCUGGUGGUAGCAACUUGAAUAGCCAGUCUAAUAUUUAGAUCUAGUUUUUUAUAUUAUGGACUACUUUAGGUUAUCAUGGUUUCUGAAUUUAUAAAGUGUUGUAAAAACUUAGUUUCUUUUGGUUAUAUAUUGUUGUGCUCUACUUGUUGUCAACUUGGACUUCUGAAUUAGCUUUUAUUGUUGUUGAUCUUUUGUAGUUAUGUUACUUUCAUUACUAUCAAUCCAUUGUCCAUUAUUAUUAUGGUUGGAGUAAAAAUUUGGCUUUAGAUUGUGCACUCAA